GGCGAUGAAGGGCGUGCUAAUCUGCGAUAAGCGCCGGUAAGGUGAUAUGAACCGUUAUAACCGGCGAUACCCGAAUGGGGAAACCCAGUGUGAUUCGUCACACUAUCAUUAACUGAAUCCAUAGGUUAAUGAGGCGAACCGGGGGAACUGAAACAUCUAAGUACCCCGAGGAAAAGAAAUCAACCGAGAUUCCCCCAGUAGCGGCGAGCGAACGGGGAGGAGCCCAGAGCCUGAAUCAGCAUGUGUGUUAGUGGAAGCGUCUGGAAAGGCGCGCGAUACAGGGUGACAGCCCCGUACACAAAAGCGCAUGUGCUGUGAGCUCGAUGAGUAGGGCGGGACACGUGGUAUCCUGUCUGAAUAUGGGGGGACCAUCCUCCAAGGCUAAAUACUCCUGACUGACCGAUAGUGAACCAGUACCGUGAGGGAAAGGCGAAAAGAACCCCGGCGAGGGGAGUGAAAAAGAACCUGAAACCGU
rnacentral:rRNA from 1 species